UCUUGGCAGAGCAGUCGUGGUCAUGGA
rnacentral:sRNA from 1 species